rnacentral:rRNA from 1 species
AACGAACGCUGGCGGCAUGCCUAACACAUGCAAGUCGAACGAAGCCUUCGGGCUUAGUGGCGCACGGGUGCGUAACGCGUGGGAAUCUGCCCUUGGGUUCGGAAUAACAGUUAGAAAUGACUGCUAAUACCGAAUGAUGUCUUCGGACCAAAGAUUUAUCGCCCAAGGAUGAGCCCGCGUCGGAUUAGCUAGUUGGUGAGGUAAAGGCUCACCAAGGCGACGAUCCGUAGCUGGUCUGAGAGGAUGAUCAGCCACACUGGGACUGAGACACGGCCCAGACUCCUACGGGAGGCAGCAGUGGGGAAUAUUGGACAAUGGGCGAAAGCCUGAUCCAGCAAUGCCGCGUGAGUGAUGAAGGCCUUAGGGUUGUAAAGCUCUUUUACCCGGGAUGAUAAUGACAGUACCGGGAGAAUAAG